rnacentral:rRNA from 1 species
CGCGUAGGCUGGUCUUUAAGUCAGAUGUGAAAUCCCGAGGCUCAACCUCGGAACAGCAUUUGAAACUGAAGACCUAGAGGGUAGAAGGAGAAAAUGGAAUUCCACAAGUAGCGGUGAAAUGCGUAGAUAUGUGGAAGAACACCGGUGGCGAAAGCGAUUUUCUAUUUUAUUCCUGACGCUGAGGCGCGAAAGUAAGGGGAUCAAACA